rnacentral:rRNA from 1 species
GAUGAACGCUAGCGGGAGGCUUAACACAUGCAAGUCGAGGGGCAUCACGAGGUAGCAAUACUUUGGUGGCGACCGGCGCACGGGUGAGUAACACGUAUGCAACCUUCCCUGUACAGGGGGAUAACCCGGAGAAAUUCGGACUAAUACCCCAUGAUGAUAUUUAUGGGCAUCCAUUGAUAUUUAAAGCUCUGGCGGUACAGGAUGGGCAUGCGCGACAUUAGCUAGUUGGUAAGGUAACGGCUUACCAAGGCUACGAUGUUUAGGGGACCUGAGAGGGUUGUCCCCCACACUGGUACUGAGACACGGACCAGACUCCUACGGGAGGCAGCAGUGAGGAAUAUUGGUCAAUGGGCGCAAGCCUGAACCAGCCAUCCCGCGUGAAGGAAGAAUGCGCUACGCGUUGUAAACUUCUUUUCCAGGGGGAGAAUAAUCCUGUCGUGACAGGACUUGACGGUACUCUGGGAAUAAGCAUCGGCUAACUCCGUGCCAGCAGCCGCGGUAAA